rnacentral:rRNA from 1 species
AGAGUUUGAUCCUGGCUCAGGACGAACGCUGGCGGCGUGCCUAACACAUGCAAGUCGAACGGGGUUAUCGGGCAGCUUGCUGCCCGAGACACCUAGUGGCGCACGGGUGAGUAACACGUGGGCAACCUACCCAGAAGACCGGGACAACACUUCGAAAGGGGUGCUAAUACCGGAUACGCUCGCUGAGUCGCAUGAUUUGGCGGGGAAAGAAUUUUCGCUUUUGGAUGGGCCCGCGUCCCAUUAGCUAGUUGGUGAGGUAAUGGCUCACCAAGGCAACGAUGGGUAGCUGGUCUGAGAGGACGAUCAGCCACACUGGAACUGAGACACGGUCCAGACUCCUACGGGAGGCAGCAGUGGGGAAUCUUGCGCAAUGGGCGGAAGCCUGACGCAGCAACGCCGCGUGAACGAAGAAGGCCUUCGGGUUGUAAAGUUCUGUCAGGGGGGACGAAGAGUUGACGGUACCCCCAGAGGAAGCCCCGGCUAACUACGUGCCAGCAGCCGCGGUAACACGUAGGGGGCGAGCGUUGUCCGGAAUUACUGGGCGUAAAGGGCGUGUAGGCGGCCGAUCAAGUCAGGUGUGAAAAAUCAGGGCUUAACCCUGAUCGUGCACUUGAAACUGGUUGGCUUGAGUGCAGGAGAGGAAAGUGGAAUUCCCAGUGUAGCGGUGAAAUGCGUAGAUAUUGGGAGGAACACCAGUGGCGAAGGCGACUUUCUGGACUGCAACUGACGCUGAGGCGCGAAAGCUAGGGGAGCAAACAGGAUUAGAUACCCUGGUAGUCCUAGCCGUAAACGAUGGGUACUAGGUGUAGGGGGUUUAGACGCCCUCUGUGCCGCAGUUAACACAUUAAGUACCCCGCCUGGGGAGUACGGCCGCAAGGCUGAAACUCAAAGGAAUUGACGGGGGCCCGCACAAGCGGUGGAGCAUGUGGUUUAAUUCGAAGCAACGCGAAGAACCUUACCAAGGCUUGACAUAUAUCCGGCGGUUUAGGAAACUAAACUUUCUCUUCGGAGACGGAUAUACAGGUGGUGCAUGGUUGUCGUCAGCUCGUGUCGUGAGAUGUUGGGUUAAGUCCCGCAACGAGCGCAACCCCUGUUGCUAGUUGCCAUCAUUAAGUUGGGCACUCUAGCGAGACUGCCGGUGACAAACCGGAGGAAGGUGGGGACGACGUCAAAUCCUCAUGCCCCUUAUGUCUUGGGCUACACACGUGCUACAAUGGCCGGCACAACGGGUAGCGAAGGGGUGACCCGGAGCCAAUCCCUUAAAACCGGUCUCAGUUCGGAUUGCAGGCUGCAAUUCGCCUGCAUGAAGCCGGAAUCGCUAGUAAUCGCGGAUCAGCACGCCGCGGUGAAUACGUUCCCGGGCCUUGUACACACCGCCCGUCACACCACGAAAGUUGGCAACACCCGAAGCCGGUGGGCUAACCGCAAGGAGGCAGCCGUCGAAGGUGGGGCCAAUGAUUGGGGUGAAGUCGUAACAAGGUAACCG